rnacentral:rRNA from 1 species
GACGAACGCUGGCGGCGUGCUUAACACAUGCAAGUCGAACGAUGAAGCCCAGCUUGCUGGGUGGAUUAGUGGCGAACGGGUGAGUAACACGUGAGUAACCUGCCCUGGACUCUGGGGUAACCCCGAGAAAUCGGAGCUAAUACCGGAUAGGACCUUUCCUCGCAUGAGGUUUGGUGGAAAGUUUUUCGGUUUGGGAUGGACUCGCGGCCUAUCAGCUUGUUGGUGAAGUAAUGGCUCACCAAGGCGUCGACGGGUAGCCGGCCUGAGAGGGUGACCGGCCACACUGGGACUGAGACACGGCCCAGACUCCUACGGGAGGCAGCAGUGGGGAAUAUUGCACAAUGGGCGCAAGCCUGAUGCAGCAACGCCGCGUGCGGGAUGACGGCCUUCGGGUUGUAAACCGCUUUUAGUAGGGAAGAAGCCUUCGGGUGACGGUACCUGCAGAAAAAGGACCGGCUAACUACGUGCCAGCCGCCGCGGUAACAC